UACGAAGGGGGCUAGCGUUGCUCGGAUUGACUGGGCGUAAAGGGCGCGUAGGCGGUUCGUACAGUCAGACGUGAAAUUCCUGGGCUCAACCUGGGGGCUGCGUUUGAUACGUGCGGACUUGAGUGCGGAAGAGGGUCGUGGAAUUCCCAGUGUAGAGGUGAAAUUCGUAGAUAUUGGGAAGAACACCGGUGGCGAAGGCGGCUAUCUGGACCGACAUUGACGCUGAGGCGCGAAAGCGUGGGGAGCAAACAGGG
rnacentral:rRNA from 1 species